GGGGCCGUAGGGUAGCUUGGACCAUCCUAGCGGCUUGGGGUGCCGUUGACCUGAGUUCAAAUCUCAGCGGCCCCACCA
rnacentral:tRNA from 2 species